AACGAACGCUGGCGGCAGGCCUAACACAUGCAAGUCGAGCGCGCCCUUCGGGGUGAGCGGCGGACGGGUGAGUAACGCGUGGGAACGUGCCCUUUUCUACGGAAUAGCCUCGGGAAACUGAGAGUAAUACCGUAUACGCCCUUUGGGGGAAAGAUUUAUCGGAAAAGGAUCGGCCCGCGUUGGAUUAGGUAGUUGGUGGGGUAAUGGCCUACCAAGCCGACGAUCCAUAGCUGGUUUGAGAGGAUGAUCAGCCACACUGGGACUGAGACACGGCCCAGACACCUACGGGAGGAGGCAGUGGGGAAUCUUAGACAGUGGGGGCAACCCUGAUCUAGCCAUGCCGCGUGAGGGAUGAAGGCCUUAGGGUUGUAAAGCUCUUUCAGCUGGGAAGAUAUUGACGGUACCAGCAGAAGAAGCCCCGGCUAACUCCGUGC
rnacentral:rRNA from 1 species